GACGAACGCUGGCGGCGUGCUUAACACAUGCAAGUCGAGCGGUAAGGCCCUUUCGGGGGUACACGAGCGGCGAACGGGUGAGUAACACGUGGGUGACCUGCCCUCAGCUCUGGGAUAAGCCUGGGAAACCGGGUCUAAUACUGGAUAUGACUCCAUGACGCAUGUUGUGGGGUGGAAAGCCUUGUGCGGCUGAGGAUGGGCCCGCGGCCUAUCAGCUUGUUGGUGUGGUGAUGGCCUACCAAGGCGACGACGGGUAGCCGGCCUGAGAGGGCGACCGGCCACACUGGGACUGAGACACGGCCCAGACUCCGUACGGGAGGCGAGCAGUGGGGAAUCUUGCGCAAUGGGCGAAAGCCUGACGCAGCGACGCCGCGUGAGGGAUGACGG
rnacentral:rRNA from 1 species